AUUGAACGCUGGCGGCAGGCUUAACACAUGCAAGUCGAACGAGUGGCGGACGGGUGAGUAAUGCUUGGGCAUCUAGCUUAUGGAGGGGGAUAACUACGGGAAACUGUAGCUAAUACCGCGUACAAUAGGCUGCGUCCAAGUGGGAUUAGUUAGUGGGGGGGGUAACGGCUCACCAAGGCGACGAUCCCUAGCUGGUCUGAGAGGAUGACCAGCCACACUGGAACUGAGACACGGUCCAGACUCCUACGGGAGGCAGCAGUGGGGAAUAUUGGACAAUGGGCGCAAGCCUGAUGCAGCCAUGCCGCGUGUAUGAAGAAGGCCUUCGGGUUGUAAAGUACUUUAAGCGAGGAGGCGUUACUCGCAGAAGAAGCACCGGCUAACUCCGUGCCAGCAGCCGCGGUAAUUC
rnacentral:rRNA from 1 species